rnacentral:lncRNA from 1 species
CAAACGACAACCACUGACUUGCAAGCUCUUGACUUGGGACAGGCACAUACAUACAGAAUGUGGCGGGAUUAAACAUGUCAUCGGAAUAACAACAAUCCCCUAAUCUGGGACAAUGGUGUAACAGUACAAUAUAAGAACAACAUGCGCGAAUCAUUGCAAUUAGACAAAAGAAACCGGCCAACUAACAUUAAGACAAAAGACUCAACGCAUCGAACUAAGAGUAUUUGCAAUUACUGGAAGUUUAUUCAAAGCUAGUGAUACUAGUACAGCAAUAAAUCUUGUUUCCCCAGACUGAAGUAUCAUCAGUACAUAACCAACUGUUUUAUUAAAAAAAAAUCUAGUAACUGCUAGCUUUAUAUAUAGUCCUUUGUUAAUUCAUUAUCAUUGUCAUUUUGAUUAGUUUCUUUUGUUUCCUAUUCUGACAUAUGACUUGUAUUUCCUUUUCAAGUGCGUUUUACUGUUCAUAUUACUGUGUGUUUUUCAUUCUUUAUUUUUUUUUGAUAGAUGCACAACCUUAAAAUUUCAGUAUACUGUUAUCCCAUGUGAUGUCUAAUAUGUUUUAAGAAAAAUAAAUGACUUCUUCUUUUCAUUAUUUAUUUUGUAAUUAAAAAUGAUUUGAUAUAUUUCGUGCUAUUUAUUUAUAACUAAGAAUGACUAUUAUCGGAGCCUUGUUUACAUCAGUGUUUACAGAUAUCCCUCUUUUCGCCCCUUUUCUAUUUUGAUAUUUAAUCAAAAAUUUAGAAAAUCAAACUUUCAAAAAGUGAAAUAAUCAAAAUUGCACAUAAGGUUUAAUAUUUUAGAAUUUUGAUCAAAUUCCUAAACUAU